AAGCUAUGAUGUGGGCACUUCCUCAAUAGGUCUUUGAAUCUUUCUCAAACUUCAUACAAACUCUCUUCAUCAUGGUAAGCAAAAGUCAUUAUUUCAUUGCGAAGCUU
rnacentral:snoRNA from 1 species